ACGUAGGGAGCAAGCGUUAUCCGGAUUUACUGGGUGUAAAGGGCGUGUAGGCGGGAUUGUAAGUCAGAUGUGAAAACCAGGGGCUCAACCUCUGGCCUGCAUUUGAAACUGCAGUUCUUGAGUACUGGAGAGGCAGACGGAAUUCCUAGUGUAGCGGUGAAAUGCGUAGAUAUUAGGAGGAACACCAGUGGCGAAGGCGGUCUGCUGGACAGCAACUGACGCUGAGGCGCGAAAGCGUGGGGAGCAAACAG
rnacentral:rRNA from 1 species